CUGUAACAGUGCAUCAUAUUCUAGAAGCCGAUGGUGUGUUUUCUAUGUAAAAUCUUCAUCUGCAAAGUAAAGUAACCAUUGCUAUCAGAUGUAUUUAUCUGAGUUGAACGUAAAACAUUUCCCUUUGAAAUGAAGUAGUGGAGUAGAAAUAUAUAGUAAAAUACAUGUACCUCAAAAUUCAACUCAUGUAGAAUAAAUGUACUUAGUAAAUUUCCACCAUGGGCAUCGGCGCGCCGCUUUACAGCUCUGUCCAGCUUUCACUUCAUUGUCUUGCUUUGCUGGUGUUUUUUAAUUUUUUGCUUCUCUCGGGGCGACCUACUGUCACCCACCUACUGCCCUCUGUGAAAUGUGUACAGUUUGUACCCUGUCGCCUCCAAGUUCCCAUUAAGUUCACUGCAAAAAGUAUUUCUGUGUUGGAAUAAUAGUUCUCUACAAAACGUGUCCACAAAAUUCUCUAACAAAUACUCAGCUAAUUACUAAAAAACACUUACUGUGCAGUUAAUCAGAGGUUUGUGGGGCCCUGAGGGGGUCUGGGGCCCAUUUGCCGAUUUUAACCCAUAUAAAGGAGUGCAGUACAAAGAAUGCAUUUCAUUUUUUCCCCAUUUGACAUAAUAAAACCUAAUUUAAAGCAGCUUUAUAACAGUGGUGGGGGAUUUCGACUGAAGCCAGAGGCAACCUGCCACUGCCACUACUGCCACCUCCACACAACCCUCCAUGUCAUCACAACCUUUAGCCUCUCUGCGAGCUGCCACCUCCUCACAACUCUCCACGUCCUCGCAGCUAUUCUCAGAGCCUAUAUCCUCCCUGCGCUCACUAUGACAGGCAACGGCUAGUCUCAGCAAACCCUAGACAGGUCUGUCAGGAGGCUGUUUUUGCCACAAAAGUUUCAGCCAUCUGUUCCUCUUCUUUCCCCUGCUGGAUCCACCACAGCACUUUUGUUGGACACAGUGGGGAUGGAAGCCACUGACAGCAAGCUUUUGCUGGCCGCUCAACAGCUGGAGUCAGAAAUAGCAUCAGAGGGUCACGCAGGUGGUUGGUGUCAGCAGCUCUUACUACUUGGCAUCCGAAUAUCUUGUGUCUAAGAGCUGCAAAAGAAAGGUCAUCAGUUGGAGCCAAACAUCCUCCACAAGCUAGACAGUGGCUACCUCAUCCAGUUCCCAUGUUUGCUGACGCACAGGCUGGGGUGCGUCAUGCAGGUUGUGUGCCUAUGUGUCAGCGAGACUUGGGAAACAGCAGUAGCCAGCAUCAAAAGCUGUUG